UACGGGGGGGGCAAGCGUUGUUCGGAAUUACUGGGCGUAAAGGGCGCGUAGGCGGCCUUCUAAGUCGGACGUGAAAUCCCUGGGCUCAACCCAGGAACUGCGUCCGAUACUGGUUGGCUUGAAUCCGGGAGAGGGAUGUGGAAUUCCAGGUGUAGCGGUGAAAUGCGUAGAUAUCUGGAGGAACACCGGUGGCGAAGGCGACAUCCUGGACCGGUAUUGACGCUGAGGCGCGAAAGCCAGGGGAGCAAACGGG
rnacentral:rRNA from 1 species